UACGUAGGGUGCGAGCGUUGUCCGGAAUUAUUGGGCGUAAAGGGCUCGUAGGCGGUCUGUCGCGUCGGGAGUGAAAACUCAGGGCUUAACCCUGGACCUGCACCCGAUACGGGCGGACUAGAGUUCGGUAGGGGAGACUGGAAUUCCUGGUGUAGCGGUGAAAUGCGCAGAUAUCAGGAGGAACACCGGUGGCGAAGGCGGGUCUCUGGGCCGAUACUGACGCUGAGGAGCGAAAGCGUGGGGAGCAAACAGG
rnacentral:rRNA from 1 species